rnacentral:tRNA from 1 species
UGGCUUAUGUUCUCAUCAUGGUCAGAGCGCCUGGUCGGCUUCCAGGAGGCGCGGGUUCGAGUCCCGCUACGUUCA